rnacentral:rRNA from 1 species
UACGUAGGGUGCAAGCGUUAAUCGGAAUUACUGGGCGUAAAGCGUGCGCAGGCGGCUUUGCAAGACAGAUGUGAAAUCCCCGGGCUUAACCUGGGAACUGCAUUUGUGACUGCAUGGCUGGAGUGCGGCAGAGGGGGAUGGAAUUCCGCGUGUAGCAGUGAAAUGCGUAGAUAUGCGGAGGGACACCGAUGGCGAAGGCAAUCCCCUGGGCCUGCACUGACGCUCAUGCACGAAAGCGUGGGGAGCAAACAGG